AUAUAAAUGUAUGUAACUGUAAGAUGUAAUUCACCUGAAUUGCAUUUGAUGAAACUCAAGAUGAAACUCAUUGUCAGUCUCAUCAUCGCCUGUGUGCUCUUCAAUAAAGUGUGCUCACUCUAGUGCUAUGAGUGUUUUUGGGAAGGAUGCUCCCCGAAACAAGUAAUCUGCCCAUCUGGACAGAAAUGUGGGAGCACAUAUGAGCGUGUCCUCAGUGGACAGCGAAAUUCAUUUGAAUUUCAAAGGCGCUGUGUGCAACCUAAGGAGUGUGUUUCUGGCUCACUGAAUUUAGGAUUUAACAGGAUUGAAAUUACCAACACAUGCUGUACUACUGACUUCUGCAAUGCUGAUACUGCUCCUGGUUUUAGUAGCCAAUUCUUCAAUGGGAAGAAAUGCUUCACAUGUUCUGGCAAAGAUUGUACAUCAAUGGUCAGAUGUCAGGGAGACGAAAACAGUUGUGUAAAAAUGACAGGUAAGAGUUUGUCUGACUUUUUAAUAUAAUGCUGUUUAUAUCGGUGGCCAACAGAAUCACCAUUCUGUAUAACAAGCUGAUCUAUUAUUUUCGCAGUACAAAUAUCUGAUUAUUGAUUUCUCCAUGGGGUGACAUGGUUGU